CCUACGGGUGGCAGCAGUGAGGAAUAUUGGUCAAUGGUCGGGAGACUGAACCAGCCAAGCCGCGUGAGGGAUGAAGGUACAGAGUAUCGUAAACCUCUUUUGUCAGGGAACAAAGGCGGGGACGUGUCCCCGGAUGAGUGUACCUGAAGAAAAAGCAUCGGCUAACUCCGUGCCAGCAGCCGCGGUAAUACGGAGGAUGCGAGCGUUAUCCGGAUUUAUUGGGUUUAAAGGGUGCGUAGGCGGAUUUGUAAGUCAGCGGUAAAAAUGCGGUGCUCAACGCCGUAUCGCCGUUGAAACUGCAGGUCUUGAGUGAGCGAGAAGUAUGCGGAAUGCGUGGUGUAGCGGUGAAAUGCAUAGAUAUCACGCAGAACUCCGAUUGCGAAGGCAGCAUACCGGCGCUCAACUGACGCUGAGGCACGAAAGCGUGGGGAUCGAACAGGAUUAGAUACCCCAGUAGUC
rnacentral:rRNA from 1 species